AUACGAGGGGUGCAAGCGUUAUUCGGAAUUACUGGGCGUAUAGGGUGUGUAGACGGCAUAUUAAGUCUGUUGUUAAAUGCUCCGGCUUUACCGGAGAACUGCGGUGGAAACUGAUGUGCUUGAGGAUGGAAGAGAGAAGUGGAAUUCCCGGAGUAGCGGUAAAAUGCGUGGAUCUCGGGAGGAACACCAAUGGCGAAGGCAGCUUCUUGGUCCAUUCCUGACGUUGAGACACGAAAGCGUGGGGAGCGAACGGGAUUAGAAACCCCAGUAGUCC
rnacentral:rRNA from 1 species